rnacentral:rRNA from 1 species
UACAGAGGUCCCAAGCGUUGUUCGGAUUCACUGGGCGUAAAGGGUGCGCAGGUGGGUUUGCAAGUUCGAUGUGAAAGCCCCGGGCUUAACCCGGGAAUGGCAUUGGAUACUGCAGAUCUGGAGGAUCGGAGGGGGGACUGGAAUUCUUGGUGUAGCAGUGAAAUGCGUAGAUAUCAGGAAGAACACCCGUGGCGAAGGCGGCUCUCUGGGACGGUACUGACGCUGAGACGCGAAAGCGUGGGGAGCGAACAGG